rnacentral:lncRNA from 1 species
UACUCAACUUCAUAAAUCACAUAGGACCAUCCCUUAUCUGCUAAGGUCGAUAGAUCCCAUCUAGAUACGCAUCCUACUCCUACAAUGAACUUAUUGUAGACAACAUAUACUGCAAGGAUCCAUAUGAUUAGGAGAUCAAGUGAAUGUGCAGUCAGACUACAACAACCUCACUGUGAAUAGCCGAGGCACUGUAGGUCAAAGAACCAUUUACACAAAUACAGCAUCGAGAAAGUCACUGACAAGUGAGUAGACUCCAAGUGACUUUUCAUACUAGUCAUAUUCAGUACCAAUGUUCUCUAACAA